rnacentral:rRNA from 1 species
UACGACUACAUAUCAGGCAUAUCAAUAAGCGGAGGAAAAGAAACUAACAAGGAUUCCCCUAGUAACGGCGAGUGAAGCGGGAAGAGCUCAAAUUUGAAAUCUUAAAGGGUUUCCCUUUACGAAUUGUAGUUUAAAGAAGUGUUUUCUGCUGGUAGUUUUGGUAAAAGUUCUUUGGAAUAGGACAUCAUAGAGGGUGAGAAUCCCGUAUUUGACCAUUACUUUCCAGCUUUGUGAUACACUUUCAAAGAGUCGGAUUGUUUGGGAAUGCAGUCCAAAAUGGGUGGUAAAUUUCAUCUAAAGCUAAAUAUUGGCGAGAGACCGAUAGCGAACAAGUACCGUGAGGGAAAGAUGAAAAGAACUUUGAAAAGAGAGUUAAACAGUACGUGAAAUUGUCAAAAGGGAAGCGUUUGACACCAGUGUUGUUUUUCCGAAAAUCAAUUAAAAAUAGACUUCAUGCUAAGUAGUAUUGACCUCAUCAGCUUGCUGCUUAGUUUUGGGUCAUCUUUUUGAUGCACUUUUCGGUUAACAAGUCAACAUCAAUUUCUUUUGCCGUAAAAAGGUAGAAGGAAGGUGGCUUUAGUUUCGGCUGAAGUGUUUAUAGCCUCCUGCCCCUGCGGUCGGAGAGAUUGAGGUCUGCAGCGUAGAUCCUUCGGGGCUAGAUACGUUUGUGCUAAGUUAUAGCUUUGUAUAGACAACAUGUUGACUAUGCUUAGUCAAGUAGCUUACUCGCAGAUAGUAUUUUACCUACGCUUAGGAUGUUGACACACGCGCGUGCUCG